UACGUAGGUCCCGAGCGUUGUCCGGAUUUAUUGGGCGUAAAGCGAGCGCAGGUGGUUUAUUAAGUCUGGUGUAAAAGGCAGUGGCUCAACCAUUGUAUGCAUUGGAAACUGGUAGACUUGAGUGCAGGAGAGGAGAGUGGAAUUCCAUGUGUAGCGGUGAAAUGCGUAGAUAUAAGGAGGAACACCGGUGGCGAAAGCGGCUCUCUGGCCUGUGACUGACACUGAGGCUCGAAAGCGUGGGGAGCAAACAGG
rnacentral:rRNA from 1 species